CCUCAGCUCAGCUUCUCAAAAUGAGGUUCCCUGUUCAGUUCCUGGGGCUGCUGCUGCUCUGGAUCCCUGGUGAGGACAGAGGAGAUAGGGAAGGAAAAGGGGGAGGGAAGAGAGCCCUAGGCCCCUAUUCUGCCAUGUGUGCUCUGUCCACAUGAGGGAUGUGCAGGUCUGUCCUCCAGGAUGAGGCGCUGAGGUCAAUCAAUGUGAGAGAGUAUUCCAGAAGGAGCAAGCGACUGAGCUCUGAUGAAUAUCAUCACAUAAUAAGAGGGGGGUUUUAUAGGUGAAUUCUAGAGAAGGCCUUAUAGGUUACAAAAUUUGAGGUGUUUUUAAACAUGAAUAAUUUUAUUGAAGAAAGAAAAACCACAAAAAUUAGUUAACCAGAAAUACACAAUAAAGGAAAAAGCAUAAAUUCUCCUAAAGUAUUUACAUAACCUCGCAUUGUACUGUGGUGUUUCUUUUUUCCAGGUACCAGUGGGGAUGUUGUGCUGACCCAGACUCCUCUCUCUGUGCCCAUCACCCCUGGACAGCCAGCCUCCAUCUCCUGCAGGUCCAGUCAGAGCCUCCUACACAGUAAUGGAAAAAAAUAUUUGCACUGGGUUGUGCACAAGCCAGGCCAGGCUCCACAGGGCUUAAUCUAUGAGGUUUCCAACCAGCACACUCUGGUCUCAGACAGGUUCAAUGGCAGUGGGUCAGGGACAGAUUUCACACUGAGAAUCAGCAGGGUGGAGCCUGACGAUGCUGGGGUGUACUACUGCUGGCAAGAGACACAUGAUCCUCCCACAGUGGUGCAGCCCGAACAAAAACCUCCCUGCCUGGGUGGCCCAGCUGCCACAUGAGCUCUGGUCUGCGCAGCACCUCAGCAGAUUUUAUGCCCUGUGAGGGGAAGGUGCUGGGAACUCAGGGAUCAGGUGCAGCUGAGGGCUGUGGACCAUGACUGCCUGGGUCAUAGCACACCACACCCAUGAGUGGCCCUGUCAGCUGCAGCAGCCUGGCCUGGCAUGUGGAGGACAAGCACAGAAGUGUCCAGGGACCUUCUGAAUGAGCAGACAGGAUGAGUGUGGACACUGCAGGAGGAGCAGGACCUGGGCCCUGGGCAGGACCCUGGUAAAGAAUCAGAGGACUUCAACUGGAGUGGAAAUUUAUCUUUUGCCCAGAAAUUUAUUUUAUGCAAUUUUCUAAUAAACUGUGGAACUAAAAAGUAAACUGUGAUACCAGCUGACAGAAGUUAGAGCAGAGGACCACAAGAGGAUUGAGAGCAGGGGACCACUUACAGAACAGCUGAGCAAAGGCUCCUUGACCUUCAGCCUGUGUCUGAGGCUGAGACUCUUGGGAGGAACACUGUGGUGCUGCUACAGGAAUAAUCUGCCACAUCCUUAGCCUGGGGCUGCUGAUGGGGAGACUGAAAUCUGCUCCUGACCCACUGCCCAUGAACCUGCAUUGGAUUCAAGCUGUCCAUGUGGAUGCCCAGGAGAGGAGCCUGGGAGCCUGUCCUGGCUUCUGCUGGGACCAGGCCACAUAGUCCUUGUGGUUGGAUAAAAGACUCUGGCUGAAGUUGCAGCUGAUGAUGACCAUGUCUCCUGCAGACACAGCCAGGGAGCCUGGAGACUGGCUCAUCACCUUGUCCCCAAAGACAUCUUCAAUCAAGAAAAUCAGGAGUGGAC
rnacentral:lncRNA from 1 species